UCAGGGAAACACCGCACGCCGCAACGCAUCUCUAUGCCAUCAAACGUCAAUAUGCCAUUAUAAUUGCUUUACAAUCAAGUCUUCAUUAACGCCAUAGCCUCUAAUUAUGCCAUUUCAACUAAUAUGCUAUUCAACUUUAUGCCAUUUUCAACUAAAAUGAUAUUCAACUUUAUGUCAUUGCGACUUGAAAUUUUCUCCACCGCCAAAGGAUGGCGCCACUUAUGCCAUAAUCAGAAGAACCAUCUUUAGAUGGAUACGUUUUAUUAGGAUUUUUUAUUAGGAUGCCCUUCUCAGGGUAUGAUAAAUAUGUAUUGGUAAAGGCCCUUUUUAGGGCCGAAUACCAAUCAGCUAGGAUCAGGAUAUGGAUAUGGAUAUAUGGGCUUCUGUUUAAGAAGGUGUUGCUUGUGGACGUUCAGCGCCAUCUCUUGGAGUAGCGCUGCGUCAAACAUUUAAAUGGAACCAUAGGUUAUUUUCCCGAGUCCCCGAUUUGUGGAUACUUUAUGGCUGUUUCGAACGAAGUGUGAUCAUUAUACAGUCUUCUAGCAUUUAUGUCUGUUUUCUGCAGUUAGAUGUUCAGUUCUUAGCAUCCCAGUGGGCUUUGAUGGCAUCUAUUUCUUUUAUUGCAUUAACAUUGCUGCCAAACUGCGAGACUUAAUAGUUUAGUAUGUUGUCUGAGACAGAUGUUUGCCUGCAGUGGUGCGUCUCAGAAGGAUUACUGCCUUCAUCGAAAAUAUGUUCAGAGCAAACAACAGAUCAGUGGAGAUUUUAAUGGCACUGUUUAAGAAGCAUGUGGCAGAGUGAAUAACUAUUAUGAAUGAUGAAUGGUGGACAUAUUCAUUAUUGGCAGACGUGGUAUUAUGUGCAUCAGACUGUUAAUCAUUCCACUAAUUUCAUUAAUCUGGCUGCUGGUGCAUAUAUCCAAUCUAAAGAAUCAAACAAGCAGCCUCUAAAAGUAAAAGUUUGAAAAAAAAAGUGUUUUUUCACAAGGAAAAUUUAGCUGAUCACGUACUUGAAUACCUAAUUUGUUGCUAAGUUUAAAAUAAUGGCAAUAUCUAUUCAUGGAAAUUUUAACUAAAGUAAUUCUUUUAAGGAAUUUCGGCAAUAUACUUUUAAUGGCAUAGGUUUUUGAAAAAAAUGUGGCCCUUUUUCAAGGCCAUAAUAAUCUGGAAAAAGAAAUGAAGUAUUGCUAGCUAUAAGCAUACAAAAUUUUAAACUCUUUUAUAAUAGUAUAAUUAGAAAUAUAUUUGAAUAAUAGCUUUUACUAUA